CGUAGGGUGCAAGCGUUAAUCGGAAUUACUGGGCGUAAAGCGUGCGCAGGCGGUUGGUAAGACAGAUGUGAAAUCCCCGGGCUUAACUGGGAAUUGCAUUGUGACUGCCCGGCUAGAGUUUGGCAGAGGGGGGUAGAAUUCCACGUGUAGCAGUGAAAUGCGUAGAUAUGUGGAGGAAUACCGAUGGCGAAGGCAGCCCCCUGGGUCAAGACUGACGCUCAUGCACGAAAGCGUGGGGAGCAAACAGGAUUAGAUACCCUGGUAGUCCACGCCCUAAACGAUGUCUACUAGUUGUCGGGUCUUAAUUGACUUGGUAACGCAGCUAACGCGUGAAGUAGACCGCCUGGGGAGUACGGUCGCAAGAUUA
rnacentral:rRNA from 1 species